UACGUAGGGUGCGAGCGUUGUCCGGAAUUAUUGGGCGUAAAGAGCUCGUAGGCGGUGUGUCGCGUCGGUCGUGAAAAACUCGGGGGCUUAACCCCCGGGCCUGCAGUGGGUACGGGCAGACUAGAGUGCGGUAGGGGAGACUGGAAUUCCUGGUGUAGCGGUGAAAUGCGCAGAUAUCAGGAGGAACACCGGUGGCGAAGGCGGGUCUCUGGGCCGUAACUGACGCUGAGGAGCGAAAGCGUGGGGAGCGAACAGG
rnacentral:rRNA from 1 species